UUCAUCCAGCUGAGCUGUUUGGAAGAGGCUCAAACCAUCUGAGCUACCUGAGCUGCUGCAGACUGUAGAGUGUGCUCCAGGUUCCCAGCUUUUGUGAAUGGUCACCCAUUCAGGGGUGGACUUUGGUGAUACAGCUAUGUUUGAGUCAUUUCUCCUCCUAUAAAUAACUCAUCGCCUGCAGUCCUGCAGACUUGUCCUCUCAUCCAUGGAGCAAGAUCACUCAGGGCUUGGCCAUAGGUGGAAAGCUGGAAGAGAACAUGGCAUCACAGAAGAAAUUGCACUGACGUAGUGUCUUAAAUGUUGCCCCCAGACCUACCUGUAACUUUCCUUGGUAUUAUAAAUGAGUAAAGAAAGCUCUCAUGGC